rnacentral:rRNA from 1 species
AAUCAACGCUGGCGGCGUGCCUCAGACAUGCAAGUCGAACGAGAAAGUUCCCUUCGGGGGAUGAGUAAAGUGGCGCACGGGUGAGUAACACGUAGGUAAUCUACCUUCGGGUGGGGAAUAACCCAGGGAAACUUGGGCUAACACCGCAUAAUGCAGCGGCACCACAUGGUGACAGUUGUUAAAGCGGGGGAUUUUAGGACCUCGCGCCUGAAGAGGAGCCUGCGGCGGAUUAGCUAGUUGGAAGGUAACGGCUUACCAAGGCGACGAUCCGUAACCGGCCUGAGAGGGCGGUCGGUCACACUGACACUGACAUACGGGUCAGACUCCUACGGGAGGCAGCAGUCGGGAAUUUUGGGCAAUGGGCGAAAGCCUGACCCAGCAACGCCGCGUGAAGGAU